rfam:Neurospora crassa OR74A linkage group VII, whole genome shotgun sequence.
GGGCGUGUGGCUCAGUUGGUAGAGCGUUCGCUUAGCAUACUCAUCUGUAUGCGAAAGGUCCUGGGUUCGAUUCCCAGCUCGUCCA